rnacentral:rRNA from 1 species
GACGAACGCUGGCGGCGUGCUUAACACAUGCAAGUCGAACGAAGUGGCGAACGGGGGAGUAACGCGUAAGCAACCUGCCCUUCAGAGGGGGACAAAAGUUGGAAACGACUGCUAAUACCGCAUACGGAAGGAGGGGAUUGGGUCUGAUUGGAUGGUUGGCGGGGUAACGGCCCACCAAGGCGAUGAUCAGUAGCCGGUCUUAGAGGAUGAACGGCCAAAACUGGACUGAGACACGGCCCAGACUCCUACGGGAGGCAGCAGUGGGGAAUCUUCCGCAAUGGACGAAAGUCUGACGGAGCAACGCCGCGUGAGUGAUGACGGCCUUCGGGUUGUAAAGCUCUGUUAAUCGGGACGCGGUACCGGAAUAGAAAGCCACGGCUAACUACGUGCCAGCAGCCGCGGUAAUUC